ACUUAAAUUGAAGAGUUUGAUCAUGGCUCAGAUUGAACGCUGGCGGCAGGCCUAACACAUGCAAGUCGAGCGGUAGCACAGAGAGCUUGCUCUCGGGUGACGAGCGGCGGACGGGUGAGUAAUGUCUGGGAAACUGCCUGAUGGAGGGGGAUAACUACUGGAAACGGUAGCUAAUACCGCAUAAUGUCGCAAGACCAAAGUGGGGGACCUUCGGGCCUCAUGCCAUCAGAUGUGCCCAGAUGGGAUUAGCUAGUAGGUGGGGUAACGGCUCACCUAGGCGACGAUCCCUAGCUGGUCUGAGAGGAUGACCAGCCACACUGGAACUGAGACACGGUCCAGACUCCUACGGGAGGCAGCAGUGGGGAAUAUUGCACAAUGGGCGCAAGCCUGAUGCAGCCAUGCCGCGUGUAUGAAGAAGGCCUUCGGGUUGUAAAGUACUUUCAGCGGGGAGGAAGGCGAUAAGGUUAAUAACCUUGUCGAUUGACGUUACCCGCAGAAGAAGCACCGGCUAACUCCGUGCCAGCAGCCGCGGUAAUACGGAGGGUGCAAGCGUUAAUCGGAAUUACUGGGCGUAAAGCGCACGCAGGCGGUCUGUCAAGUCGGAUGUGAAAUCCCCGGGCUCAACCUGGGAACUGCAUUCGAAACUGGCAGGCUAGAGUCUUGUAGAGGGGGGUAGAAUUCCAGGUGUAGCGGUGAAAUGCGUAGAGAUCUGGAGGAAUACCGGUGGCGAAGGCGGCCCCCUGGACAAAGACUGACGCUCAGGUGCGAAAGCGUGGGGAGCAAACAGGAUUAGAUACCCUGGUAGUCCACGCCGUAAACGAUGUCGAUUUGGAGGUUGUGCCCUUGAGGCGUGGCUUCCGGAGCUAACGCGUUAAAUCGACCGCCUGGGGAGUACGGCCGCAAGGUUAAAACUCAAAUGAAUUGACGGGGGCCCGCACAAGCGGUGGAGCAUGUGGUUUAAUUCGAUGCAACGCGAAGAACCUUACCUGGUCUUGACAUCCACAGAACUUAGCAGAGAUGCUUUGGUGCCUUCGGGAACUGUGAGACAGGUGCUGCAUGGCUGUCGUCAGCUCGUGUUGUGAAAUGUUGGGUUAAGUCCCGCAACGAGCGCAACCCUUAUCCUUUGUUGCCAGCGGUUAGGCCGGGAACUCAAAGGAGACUGCCAGUGAUAAACUGGAGGAAGGUGGGGAUGACGUCAAGUCAUCAUGGCCCUUACGACCAGGGCUACACACGUGCUACAAUGGCAUAUACAAAGAGAAGCGACCUCGCGAGAGCAAGCGGACCUCAUAAAGUAUGUCGUAGUCCGGAUUGGAGUCUGCAACUCGACUCCAUGAAGUCGGAAUCGCUAGUAAUCGUAGAUCAGAAUGCUACGGUGAAUACGUUCCCGGGCCUUGUACACACCGCCCGUCACACCAUGGGAGUGGGUUGCAAAAGAAGUAGGUAGCUUAACCUUCGGGAGGGCGCUUACCACUUUGUGAUUCAUGACUGGGGUGAAGUCGUAACAAGGUAACCGUAGGGGAACCUGCGGUUGGAUCACCUCCUUACCUUAAAGAA
rnacentral:rRNA from 1 species